UACGAAGGGGGCAAGCGUUGUUCGGAAUUACUGGGCGUAAAGGGCGCGCAGGCGGCCCUUGAAGUCAGGUGUGAAAGCCCCGGGCUUAACCUGGGAAUGGCCGUCGAAACUGGCGAACUGGAGUGUGGCAGAGGGGGGUGGAAUUCCGCGUGUAGCAGUGAAAUGCGUAGAGAUGCGGAGGAACACCGAUGGCGAAGGCAGCCCCCUGGGCUGACACUGACGCUCAGGCACGAAAGCGUGGGGAGCAAACAGG
rnacentral:rRNA from 1 species